UCGCUUUUCUCUUCUGCGAGAAGUGGGAUCCCCCAUAUGGACACCUUCUCGGGUGGAGGUGGAGGAACUUGGGCUUCUUUGGUCUCUUCGGAUUGAGGAGCCACUUCGGCGGGGGGCUCCUCCUUUUCUUUCUCUGCCGGAGGAGCGGCAACAGCGACUACAGACUCCUCAAUCGCCUCCACCGUCUUGGCGCCAUCAUCGUCUACGGCUUUCGCUUUUUCAGCUACCUCUGUUUCCACUACAACCACUUCGGCCGCAGGAGCAUCGGCUGGUGGUGGUGGAGGAGGAGUAUUCUCUUCUUCCUUGACUUCAACAGCGGCGGGUGCAUCCGUUUCUACCUUGGGUUCUUCUGAAAUUGCAGCAGCAGGUGUCUCUUCCUCUUUUUCUUCUUUUUUCUCUUCCUUGUUUUCUUCUUCUUCUUUCUUUGGCUCAGGCUCAGGCUCAGCUACAGGUUUUUCUUCUGCUUUGGGUUUGGCAGUGAACUCGUGGUUGUUAAGGGCUUCUUGAAUAAGCUGCUUAAGCUCAUCAAGGGCCUUCUUUUGAGGCUCAGGAAGUUCACCAGCGAUAUUAGUUUCCUCUUUGAAAGAAACAGACUGGGUUAUCUUAGUUUCUUCCUUUUCUUCAACCUUGGGCUUCUCAACUUCAACAGCUUCUUCUUCAACAGCAACAACAGCCGGCUUCUCGGGCACCUCAGGUUCCGGCAGGGGAGCAGGUGCGGAGGGUUGUGGCUCUUUCUCAGUAACUUGAGGCUUCUCGACAACCACAGACACCUCCUGGGCGGGGGCAGCAGGUGCAGAUUCAGAGUCAAGAGUCUCCUGGGCCAUGGGUAAGUAAGAGAGGAAGAAUGAAAGUUGUAAGAAAGGGAGAAGAAUGAAGAGGGGGCUUAAAAAUGGAAGAAACAAGA
rnacentral:lncRNA from 1 species